UGGUGGAGUGAUUUGUCUGGUUAAUUCCGUUAACGAACGAGACCGCCGCCUGCUAAAUAGUUCUACUAAUGGUUUUUCAUUGGUAAGAGCUUCUUAGAGGGACGUUCAUUCUACGAGAUGAAGGAAGAUGGCGGCAAUAACA
rnacentral:rRNA from 1 species